UCUAGCUACAAAUAUAUGCACAUUUGCCACACAUUCAUACGCAUUCCAUACAUUCACCAUGAUGUCGUCUUCUUCUUUUCUGUCCUUCACUAACGAUGAUGCAUCUACGCGUUGCUAUAGCAUGUGGAUCCGCUUUUCCAGGCGAAAUCUGAGCAUCCUUUGCAGCCAGAGGAGUCAAAUACAGUGUUUUUUUUUCCAUUUUAUCUUCACGUCACAUACGAAGGCACACGCACACAUACACACAUACACCUUACAAGGCAAACCUGCAGGAAUCCAGAGCACUCACCACGUUCCUAUGCAUGCUAAUGCACAACAGAGAGAGAGCGAGAGAGAGAGAGAGAUGGAGGGAUGAAGAGGCUGUACCUUUGUUGUAUCAAGCUAAUAGAAGCCCUAUCCUCCAGAAGCCACACAAAGAACAAGGGAAUGCUGGGAAAAAAGAAAAAUAAUCCAGCAUCCUCCCAGGAUUCGCCCCAAUAUCUGCCAUCCAUAAUAAAGCUCACAGAAGCAUCGCAACGUAAAGCUACCACUGCCCUCUCUCUCUUGCUCUCUCGCUCUCUCUCUCUUUCUCUUCUGUCUCUCUCUCCAUCCUUCCCUACCCCCACCUUUUGCCUCUCUCUCUGUCUCUCUCUAUAUCUCUCUCGCUCUCUCUCUCUCUCACUUUCACUGCGUUCCCUGUACACACGGAUGCAUGGGUAACAUACGGCUGUCGCAAAACCUGCAGAAGAGACAAGGAAAGAGGAGAGCAUAUAGAUCCUGGGUAGCUUCGCAUUUCUUCCGUUCUUGACGUUCUCCGUCCUGUCCUCCGGCUCUCCUGGCUGGGGGAAAAGGAGAAAAGGAGUCGGGGGGUUCGGAUGGACGGGACAGGAGGCAGAGAGGUAGGACGACAGAAAGGUCACGCAUGCAGAAAAGGAGAAAAAGACAAGAAUGG